GAUGAACGCUGGCGGCGUGCCUAAUACAUGCAAGUCGAGCGAACAGACGAGGAGCUUGCUCCUCUGACGUUAGCGGCGGACGGGUGAGUAACACGUGGAUAACCUACCUAUCAGACUGGGAUAACUUCGGGAAACCGGAGCUAAUACCGGAUAAUAUAUUGAACCGCAUGGUUCAAUAGUGAAAGACGGUUUUGCUGUCACUUAUAGAUGGAUCCGCGCCGCAUUAGCUAGUUGGUAAGGUAACGGCUUACCAAGGCAACGAUGCGUAGCCGACCUGAGAGGGUGAUCGGCCACACUGGAACGGAGACACGGUCCAGACUCCUACGGGAGGCAGCAGUAGGGAAUCUUCCGCAAUGGGCGAAAGCCUGACGGAGCAACGCCGCGUGAGUGAUGAAGGUCUUCGGAUCGUAAAACUCUGUUAUUAGGGAAGAACAAAUGUGUAAGUAACUAUGCACGUCUUGACGGUACCUAAUCAGAAAGCCACGGCUAACUACGUG
rnacentral:rRNA from 1 species